rnacentral:rRNA from 1 species
UGCUGCAUGGCUGUCGUCAGCUCGUGUCGUGAGAUGUUGGUUAAGUCCGUAACGAGCGCAACCCUUUGUCCUUAGUUACCAGCACGUUAUGUGGGCACUCUAAGGAGACUGCCGGUGACAAACCGGAGGAAGGUGGGGAUGACGUUAAGUCAUCAUGGCCCUUACGGCCUGGGCUACACACGUGCUACAAUGGUCGGUACAAAGGGUUGCCAAGCCGCGAGGUGGAGCUAAUCCCAUAAAACCGAUCGUAGUCCGGAUCGCAGUCUGCAACUCGACUGCGUGAAGUCGGAAUCGCUAGUAAUCGUGAAUCAGAAUGUCACGGUGAAUACGUUCCCGGGCCUU